rnacentral:rRNA from 1 species
CUUUAUUGGAGAGUUUGAUCCUGGCUCAGGACGAACGCUGGCGGCGUGCCUAAUACAUGCAAGUCGAGCGAAUCUGAGGGAGCUUGCUCCUGAAGAUUAGCGGCGGACGGGUGAGUAA